UACGGAGGGGGCUAGCGUUGUUCGGAAUUACUGGGCGUAAAGCGCGCGUAGGCGGACCUGCAAGUCGGGGGGUGAAAGCCCGAGGCUCAACCUCGGAACUGCCUUCGAUACUGCGGGUCUCGAGUCCGGGAGAGGUGAGUGGAAUUCCUAGUGUAGAGGUGAAAUUCGUAGAUAUUAGGAAGAACACCAGUGGCGAAGGCGGCUCACUGGCCCGGUACUGACGCUGAGGCGCGAAAGGCGUGGGGAGCAAACGGG
rnacentral:rRNA from 1 species